rnacentral:tRNA from 1 species
AUUUCUAUAUAAGUAGUUUAAUUAAAACAUUACACUUUCAUUGUAAAAUUAAAUUUAAUUUUCUUAA